AUGCACAGGACUCUCGGGCUCUCGGCCCAGCCAAUUCUCGCAGGCCAACACGGCGGUAUUCCUCGGCGCACAUCCAGUCAGUCAGACGCACGCCUCAAAAAAGAAAAAAACCAGUCAGACGCUGAUCUCAUAAAAAAAAUCCAGUCAGACGUACGCCGACGAGACACGAGCACACGAGACAGCACCACGGACUCUUCCGACCAACGCAGCGCUGCACGGGCGACGGCACGGGACGAAGCGUCCUGGUGCGAGCCCUUGCCAGUUGCCACGCCAAUGGACGAUUGUUUUUGCCAACCAGUUGCAGCUUGCGGUUGCCCGGAGCAUGCCCGCCCGGCGCGGCUCGUAUGGAGCAGAGCACGGGCGACGGCAGCCAAGCGCGGCGUGGCGAAGAAAGCGGCGGAUGAGCCGUGA
rnacentral:rRNA from 1 species